rnacentral:rRNA from 1 species
UACGUAGGGAGCAAGCGUUGUCCGGAAUCAUUGGGCGUAAAGCGCGCGUAGGUGGCCUCAUAAGUCCGCUGUGAAAGUCAAAGGCUCAACCUUUGAAAGCCGAUGGAUACUGUGAAGCUAGAGUACGGAAGAGGCGAGUGGAAUUCCUGGUGUAGCGGUGGAAUGCGCAGAUAUCAGGAGGAACACCAAUAGCGAAGGCAGCUCGCUGGGACGUUACUGACACUGAGGCGCGAAAGCGUGGGGAGCGAACAGG